GUCUAUUUGAAGGUAUAAAGAGUCUAACCUGCCCCCUGAUUUAUGAGUUAAAGGGCCGCGGUAUUAUGACCGUGCAAAGGUAGCAUAAUCAUUAGAUUCUUAAUUAGAAUCUUGUAUGAAUGGUUGGACAAAAGAACAGCUGUCUUUAAAUUAAUUUUGAAUUUAACUUUUAAGUGAAAAGGCUUAAAUAUUCUAAAGGGACGAUAAGACCCUAUAAAACUUUACAUUAUAAUUAUAUUUUUUUGAAUUUAAUAUAAAAGCUUAAUUUAAUUAUUUGUUAUAUUGGGGAGAUAUAAGUUAAAUUAAUUUUAACUACUUGAAAUUAAAACAAUUAUAUAUGAAUAAAAGAUCCUUUAUAAAGAUUAAAAAAUUAAGUUACUUUAGGGAUAACAGCGUUAUUUCUUUAGAGAGUUCUUAUCGAGAAAGAAGAUUGCGACCUCGAUGUUGAAUUAAAAUAUCUUUAUAAUGUAGUGGUUAUAUGAGAAGGUCUGUUCGACCUUUAAAAUUUUACAUGAUUUGAGUUCAAACCGGUGUGAG
rnacentral:rRNA from 1 species